AACGAACGCUGGCGGCAUGCCUAACACAUGCAAGUCGAACGAAGGCUUCGGCCUUAGUGGCGCACGGGUGCGUAACGCGUGGGAAUCUGCCCUUUGCUUCGGAAUAACAGUUAGAAAUGACUGCUAAUACCGGAUGAUGUCGCAAGACCAAAGAUUUAUCGGCAAAGGAUGAGCCCGCGUAGGAUUAGCUAGUUGGUGGGGUAAAGGCCUACCAAGGCGACGAUCCUUAGCUGGUCUGAGAGGAUGAUCAGCCACACUGGGACUGAGACACGGCCCAGACUCCUACGGGAGGCAGCAGUGGGGAAUAUUGGACAAUGGGCGAAAGCCUGAUCCAGCAAUGCCGCGUGAGUGAUGAAGGCCUUAGGGUUGUAAAGCUCUUUUACCCGGGAUGAUAAUGACAGUACCGGGAGAAUAAGCACCGGCUAACUCCGUG
rnacentral:rRNA from 1 species